CACGUAGGGUGCGAGCGUUGUCCGGAAUUAUUGGGCGUAAAGAGCUCGUAGGCGGUGUGUCGCGUCGGCCGUGAAAACCUGCAGCUUAACUGUGGGCUUGCGGUCGAUACGGGCAUCACUGGAGUUCGGCAGGGGAGACUAGAAUUCCUGGUGUAGCGGUGAAAUGCGCAGAUAUCGGGAAGAACACCCGUGGCGAAGGCGGUUCUCUGGGACGGUACUGACGCUGAGACGCGAAAGCGUGGGGAGCGAACAGG
rnacentral:rRNA from 1 species